UCCAGAAGAUGUAAACUUGUUUGAAGGAAAGUCCCAGCCUCCUGGCAGCUUAAAAGUCUCCUUCUCUAGAGAGCACCUCCACCAACUCCUCUGUCUCCUCCAGAGAAGCAAACUGCCUGCCAGAAAACUGCCUUCUUCAGAGCUCCAGAAUCUGAUCUCCUGCUUUGCAGCAAAGCUAAUCUUACAUCCUUACUACAACAGGGGCAGGGAAAUCAGUAGCCAGAUCUAAUCGUUUUCUGCAAAAGGAAUGGCCUCAGACUUUGGGGACACAGCAUGGUGCCCAAACCUGAAGUUUCAUGGCUGAGUCAUCAUCUUCAGAAUAUAAAGAGCCAGCUGAAUCACAGACUCUCAGAGCUGGAUGGGACCUUAGAAACCAUCCAGUUCCACCUCUUUCUGAACAAGAUUCCCCCUUACAAUAGCCCCAACAAGUGGUCUUCUGGUCUCCCCCUGAGAACUUCCAGUAAUGAGCAUCAUUUACUCCUUCCAAAAGCAACAACCCAUUCUACUUUUUUUCCAGCUCCAACUGUGACUGCUCUGAACCCAAA